GGACGGGUGAGUAACACGUGGGCAACCUGCCCUGCAGAUGGGGAUAACUCCGGGAAACCGGAGCUAAUACCGAAUAAUCGGUUCUUCCGCAUGGAAGAACUCUGAAAGACGGUUUCGGCUGUCACUGCAGGAUGGGCCCGCGGCGCAUUAGCUAGUUGGUGGGAUAACGGCCUACCAAGGCGACGAUGCGUAGCCGACCUGAGAGGGUGAUCGGCCACACUGGGACUGAGACACGGCCCAGACUCCUACGGGAGGCAGCAGUAGGGAAU
rnacentral:rRNA from 1 species